rnacentral:lncRNA from 1 species
UCAAAUUUACAUAUUUCCACGUAGUGUAUUUUUUUUUUUUUGCGCAUUCUGGUUGUGACGUGACGAAUGGGGGUGUUUGAUUCAGAGGGUGUCCAACCUUUAAAAAAGGCAUUUUCAAGGUGAAUUGCCAUUACUGCCCAGCUAGUGGCCCCAUCUGUCAUUCUCUUUGUCUCUAUUUUUUUCUUCUUGGGAGGAGUCUCAUCCAGCCGCUGUUC